rnacentral:rRNA from 1 species
ACUACCCCCUAAAUUUAAGCAU